AGAGUUUGAUUCCAUGGCUCAGAGUGAACGCUGGCGGUAGGCCUAACACAUGCAAGUCGAACGGCAGCACAGGAGAGCUUGCUCUCUGGGUGGCGAGUGGCGGACGGGUGAGGAAUACAUCGGAAUCUACCUUUUCGUGGGGGAUAACGUAGGGAAACUUACGCUAAUACCGCAUAAGACCUUCGGGUGAAAGCCGGGGACCUUCGGGCCUGGCGCGGAUAGAUGAGCCGAUGUCGGAUUAGCUUGUUGGCGGGGUAAAAGCCCACCAAGGCGACGAUCCGUAGCUGGUCUGAGAGGAUGAUCAGCCACACUGGAACUGAGACACGGUCCAGACUCCUACGGGAGGCAGCAGUGGGGAAUAUUGGACAAUGGGCGCAAGCCUGAUCCAGCCAUACCGCGUGGGUGAAGAAGGCCUUCGGGUUGUAAAGCCCUUUUGUUGGGAAAGAAAUCCUGCCGGUUAAUAACCAGUAGGGAUGACGGUACCCAAAGAAUAGC
rnacentral:rRNA from 2 species